ACUCCUACGGGAGGCAGCGGUGGGGAAUUUUCCGCAAUGGGCGAAAGCCUGACGGAGCAAUACCGCGUGAGGGAAGACUGCCUAUGGGUUGUAAACCUCUUUUUUCAGGGAGGAAUAAAAUGACGUGUACCUGAAGAAUAAGCAUCGGCUAACUCCGUGCCAGCAGCCGCGGUAAUAC
rnacentral:rRNA from 1 species